rnacentral:misc_RNA from 1 species
GCCGGUUACUAAUCCUGUUAUUGGCUUUAGCUUUGAGCUUGCUGUUACAGAGAGCUGAGAAGAGUCCACAAUGAUGGAGAGUGAGUCGAGUUCAAAUCCUAAAGCGCCAUUAUUGACCGGAAAUGAGAGAAAGCGAAGUGGGAGACUGAGUCGAGGCAACUCGGUACGCACACUCAGAGACCAUUUUUUCUCCAGAUUGCCUGACAAGGUUCGAUCUGGAGUGGAUGUCGAUUCUCCCUUUCGCAUUGACGUUUCUAAAACCAAAGGAUUGACUAAAGAUGAGAAGAAAUACUACGAAAGACAAUUUGCUACAUUAGAAUCGUUUGAGGAAGUUGAUUCUUUGGAAUCGGGUGACACAAUCCAUGAAGAGGACGAUGACGAACAGCUGCAAGCUGAAAGGGCCAUGAGAAUCUCUAAUUAUGCAAAUAUUCUGCUCCUGGCAUUUAAGAUCUAUGCUACAAUAAAGAGUGGAUCAAUAGCCAUUGCUGCAUCAACCUUAGAUUCUUUACUAGAUCUCAUGGCGGGUGGCAUACUCUGGUUCACUCACCUGUAUAUGAAAAACAUAAAUAUCUAUAAAUAUCCUAUUGGAAAAUUGAGGGUGCAGCCUGUGGGCAUAAUCAUCUUUGCUGCUGUCAUGGCUACACUUGGGUUUCAAAUAUUGCUCGAGGCUGUUGAACAACUAAUUAAAGAUAAGGCUCCUGAUAAGUUGUCCUCAGAUCAAUUGGUGUGGAUGUACACAAUAAUGCUUACGGCCACAGUGGUGAAGCUGGCACUCUGGAUUUACUGUAGAAGUUCAGGAAACAAGAUUGUUCGUGCCUAUGCAAAGGAUCACUACUUUGAUGUGAUAACAAAUGUAGUAGGAUUAGCUGCAGCUGUUCUUGGUGAUAAGUUCUACUGGUGGAUAGACCCUGCUGGCGCUAUUUUACUUGCCAUUUACACGAUUACAGUUUGGUCUGGAACUGUUAUGGAAAAUGCAGUUUCCCUUGUUGGACAAUCAGCCUCUCCUGAAGUCCUGCAAAAGUUGACGUAUCUUGUCAUAAGACAUCCUCAAGUUAAGCGCAUUGACACUGUCCGUGCUUACACCUUCGGUGUUCUUUACUUUGUAGAGGUUGAUAUUGAACUACCGGAAGAUUUGCCUCUAAAAGAAGCACACACCAUCGGAGAAACUCUGCAGAACAAAAUUGAGAAACUUCCAGAAGUUGAGCGGGCAUUUGUUCAUCUGGACUUUGAGUGUGAACACAAACCAGAGCACUCUGUUCUCAGCAGGCUGCCCAAUAGUUCAGAUUAGUAUUACAUAAAUGUUUAUUUAUAUUUUUUGAGGAGUUUUGUGGAAUAGAAAUAGAGAAUUUCUCAUGAAGAAAAGUCUUGUACAAUGCAGAUGAUGAGUCAAAUAGCUGGUCAUGUACCUUUCUCCUUGGAGGUUCAAACGGAGGCCCCUUUAUUUCCAUUAAUAGCAUUUAACCAGUCAAGAGUGAUAGGACAUCACACCUUGGUUAAAAUCAUAGUCGCUUUAUCAAAUCACGCUAACCCACAUACCACAUACUUUAUACACAAUCAAAUCAAUGUAUGAUACAGAAGGGGCGUAGAGACUUAUGCCGAUUGGGUCACACUCAUGCGUAUUGGCUCACUUCUCUUAAAUUUAUAGAUAGAAAAUACACGAGUUAGUAAUA